GACGAAGCGAGCGAACGUUGUUCGGAAUCACUGGGUUUAAAGGGCGCGUAGGCGGAUUCUCAAGUCCGGGGUGAAAUCCCACAGCUCAACUGUGGAACUGCCUCGGAUACUGGGAGUCUCGAGGGUGGCAGGGGUAUGCGGAACUAUCGGUGGAGCGGUGAAAUGCGUUGAUAUCGAUAGGAACUCCGGUGGCGAAGGCGGCAUACUGGUCCACUUCUGACGCUGAGGCGCGAAAGCCAGGGGAGCAAACGGG
rnacentral:rRNA from 1 species